rnacentral:lncRNA from 1 species
AUGUCUCUAACUGUGUCUCUAGCUGUGUCUCUAGCUGUGUCUCUAGCUGUAGCUAUGUCUCUAACUGUGUCUCUAGCUGUGUCUCUAGCUGUAGCUAUGUCUCUAACUGUGUCUCUAGCCGUGUCUCUAGCUGUGUCUCUAGCCGUGUCUCUAGCCGUGUCUCUAGCUGUGUCUCUAGCUGUGUCUCUAGCUGUGUCUCUAGCUGUCUCUAGCAGUGUCUCUAGCUGUAGCUGUGUCUCUAGCCGUGUCUCUAGCUGUGUCUCUAGCUGUGUCUCUAUCCGUGUCUCUAGCCGUGUCUCUAGCCGUGUCUCUAGCUGUGUCUCUAGCUGUGUCUCUAGCUGUGUCUCUAGCCAUGUCUCUAGCCGUGUCUCUAGCCGUGUCUCUAGCCGUGUCUCUAUCCGUGUCUCUAGCCGUGUCUCUAGCCGUGUCUCUAGCUGUGUCUCUAGCUGUGUCUCUAGCUGUUGCUGUGUCUCUAGCUGUGUCUCUAGCCAUGUCUCUAGCUGUAGCUGUGUCUCUAGCUGUAGCCGUGUCUCUAGCUGUGUCUCUAGCUGUGUCUCUAGCUGUGUCUCUAGCAGUGUCUUUAGCUCUAGCUGUGUCUCUAGCUGUGUCUCUAGCUGUAGCUAUGUCUCUAACUGUGUCUCUAGCUGUAGCUAUGUCUCUAACUGUGUCUCUAGCUGUGUCUCUAGCUGUGUCUCUAGCUGUAGCUAUGUCUCUAAGUGUGUCUCUAGCCGUGUCUCUAGCUGUGUCUCUAGCCGUGUCUCUAGCUGUGUCUCUAGCCGUGUCUCUAGCCGUGUCUCUAGCCGUGUCUCUAGCCGUGUCUCUAGCUGUGUCUCUAGCCGUGUCUCUAGCCGUGUCUCUAGCCGCGUCUCUAGCUGUGUCUCUAGCUGUGUCUCUAGCCGUGUCUCUAGCCGUGUUUCUAGCCGUGUCUCUAGCUGUAGCUGUGUCUCUAGCUGUGUCACUAGCUGUGUCUCUAGCUGUAGCUGUGUCUCUAGCUGUAGCUGUGUUUCUAGCUGUGUCUCUAGCUGUAGCUGUGUCUCUAGCUGUGUCUCUAGCUCUGUCUCUAGCUCUGUCUCUAGCUGUAGCUGUGUCUCUAACUGUGUCUCUAGCUGUAGCUGUGUCUCUAGCUGUGUCUCUAGCUGUAGCUCUGUCUCUAGCUGUAGCUGUGUCUCUAGCUGUAGCUGUGUCUCUAACUGUGUCUCCAGCUGUAGCUGUGUCUCUAGCUGUGUCUCUAGCUGUAGCUGUGUCUCUAGCUGUAGCUGUGUCUCUAGCUGUGUCUCUAGCUGUAUCUGUGUCUCUAGCUGUAGCUGUGUCUCUAACUGUGUGUCUAGCUGUGUCUCUAGCUAUAGCUGUGUCUCUAACUGUGUCUCUAGCUGUAGCUGUGAAUCUAACUGUGUCUCUAGCUGUGUCUCUAGCUGUAGCUGUGUCUCUAACUGUGUCUCUAGCUGUGUCUCUAGCUGUAGCUGUGUCUCUAACUGUGUCUCUAGCUGUAGCUCUGUCUCUAGCUGUAGCUGUGUCUCUAGCUGUAGCUGUGUCUCUAACUGUGUCUCUAGCUGUAGCUGUGUCUCUAGCUGUGUCUCUAGCUGUAGCUGUGUCUCUAGCUGUGUCUCUAGCUGUAUCUGUGUCUCUAGCUGUAGCUGUGUCUCUAACUGUGUGUCUAGCUGUGUCUCUAGCUGUAGCUGUGUCUCUAGCUGUAGCUGUGUCUCUAGCUGUGUCUCUAGCUGUAGCUGUGUCUCUAGCUGUGUCUUUAGCUCUAGCUGUGUCUCUAGCUGUAGCUGUGUCUCUAUCUGUAGCUGUGUCUCUAGCUGUGUCUCUAGCUGUAGCUGUGUCUCUAACUGUGCCUCUAGCUGUAGCUGUGUCUCUAGCUGUGUCUCUAGCUGUGUCUCUAGCUGUAGCUAUGUCUCUAGCUGUAGCUGUGUAUCUAGCUGUUUCUCUAACUGUGUCUCUAGCUGUAGCUGUGUCUCUAGCUGUGUCUAUAGCUGUGUCUCUAGCUGUACAAGUAUACACUAA